GGCAUUGUGGUGUAGUGGUAACACAUCUGCAAGCCAUAUGGGUUGUUCAAACUAUCGUACAGCGGUUCUGUGCCAUGGGCCUAUACACUCGCAGAAGCCCCCAGUUCGAGCCUGGGUGGUGUCA